rnacentral:misc_RNA from 1 species
CGAAACGAACCUGAUAAAAGGCAAGUGGUACCGAAACCUUGGACUUCCCGCAGGCUCAGCGGAUAUGCAGUGGCAGCAGCAGCAGCAGUAGCAGCUGUGGAGGAUUCUCAACCCUCCACAACAGAUGCUAGGUGCCACCUACCAGAGUUAUCGGCUUCACGGCAGAGGGCAAGAGGUGGACCAGUGUGGAAUGUCGGAAGGUGCCAGGCAAGGGUGGAAGCAAGGAGGUGGUGGAUGGAGAGGCAGAAGAGGAAACUGGAGAGGAGGAGGAGGAGGAGGAAAGUGGAGGGGAAGAGGAAGAAACUGGAGGGGCCGAGGAGGAGGAAGCUGGAGAGGUCAAGGAGGAAACUGGCAGGGUAGAGGAGCAAACUGGAGAGGAGGAAAUAGUCAAGAAUGUGUGGAGGGGUCAAUGCCGCCUCCCUCCAGCAUUCCCUGGCCACCAUCUCAACCAGCCAUCACCACACUGCUGCCACAAGUCCCCACACCUUACAGAGGAUGGCACCUCUACAUGACACAGACUUAUAGUGAACACUUGGACACAGUGGGGUUUCUGUGUGCCUUUGAAAAAUACUUGAAGCAGAAGUAUCACAAAUGUCUGCGCAGUGAACUGGAGGAGCGCAGGGCUUUUUCUGUUGACCUAAAGGAGCUGGUGAGUGAUGAAGAUGUCAAGACAGCAAUACCAGAUCUGCCCAACUUGGUUUUGAACUCGCCAGAGGACGUCAUCAACUGUCUGGGUCUGGCAAUGCAUCAGCUGCUGACAGAGGAGGUUGAGGCAGAAUUGAAAGCAGAAGCAGAGGAGGUAUUGAGUGGGGCAGCUGAUAGUACUGACAGGGCAGCUCUGGAAGCCCUAGUGCCAGAGACACAGCUGCCACGCAUCCAUGCCCGCCUCACCAAUCACAGCAAACUCACCAAGCUGGGUGCUCUCAAAUCCAGCCACUAUGGCAAGCUAGUGAGUGUGCGGGGAACAGUGGUGCGUGUAAGUCCCGUCAAGCCACUAUGCACAGUGCUGGCCUUCUCCUGUUUGGGCUGCGGUGGGGUGCAAGGUGUGGGACAGCCGGAGGGGCGCUACCUGAUGCCCUCUUCCUGUGCUGCCACGCCUGGCUGCCGGUCUCGUUCUUUUGUGCCAGAGAGGUCCCACCGCCUCACUCACACAGUGGACUGGCAGACCUUCACCAUGCAGGAGAUCAUCAGUGAUGACCCGAGGGAGGGGGGCAGGAUCCCCCGCACAGUGGACUGUGAGGCUAAGGAGGAUCUGGUGGACUCCUGUGUGCCAGGAGACUUGGUCACUGUCACCGGCAUUGUCAAGGUGAGCCAGAGCCAGGAGGGGCGUGGUGGCAAGGGGGACAAGUGCAUGUUCCUGCUGUACAUCGAUGCCUCGUCCGUCACUAACGGCAAGGGUCGGGGUACUGGGGCUGACUCCGCCUCUGUUGGCAUUGAGUUCAGUCUCAAGGAUUACUAUGCCAUUCAGGAGAUCCAAGCGGAGCCAAACUUGUUCCGGCUGCUGGUGGGGUCACUGUGCCCAUCUAUCUAUGGCCAUGAGAUGGUGAAGGCUGGGCUGCUGCUGUGCCUGUUUGGGGGCUGUGGCCGGGGCAGCAAGGGGGCAGUAGCAGUGCGGGGCAACUCUCAUAUCCUGGUGGUGGGGGACCCUGGCCUGGGCAAGAGUCAGAUGCUGCAGGCAUGUGCAAACGUGUCUCCCCGUGGAGUGUAUGUGUGUGGCAACAAUACCACCACUCCAGGUCUGACAGUGACACUAUGUCGGGAGGGCGGUGGUGCAGGGGACUAUGCCAUGGAGGCUGGGGCUCUGGUGCUGGCUGACCAGGGCUCCUGCUGCAUUGAUGAAUUUGACAAGAUGGGCAGCCAGUACCAGGCACUGAUGGAAGCCAUGGAGCAGCAGACAGUUAGCAUUGCCAAGGCAGGAGUGUUGUGCACCCUGCCAGCCCGCACCUCCAUUUUGGCGGCAGCCAAUCCAUGUGCUGGCCACUACAACAGGGCCAAGACUGUCUCUGAAAACCUGAGGCUUAAACCUGCCAUGCUGUCUCGCUUCGACCUCAUCUUUGUUCUCCUUGACAAACCGGAUGAGGAGCUUGACUGCCGCCUGUCAGAGCAUGUGAUGGCGCUGCACAGCGGGACAGGUGGCAAGAUGGGCCACACAACAUUUUCAAAGAACAGAAAUUCCAGCUUUGCCUCCACUUCCUCCACGCUUGAUGAAGAUGAUGACAAAGCCCUCAGGCUCGGGCACGUUGUGAGCUACGGGAAGAGGCAACAGACCGGGACGCAAAGGAGGUGAUUGAGUUGAUGCGCUUCUCCAUGAAGGAUGCCUUUGCUGAUGACCUGAGCUUGGUGGAGUUUCAGAUGUCCCUGGGAGAGGCAAAGACAGGAUCCAGGGGACCAGUGAAGAAGUUUAUAGCAGGCCUGACUCGUUUGUCGGAGAAGACCUGCAAGUCAACCUUCAGUGUGAAUGAGAUGAAGCAACUCAUCAAUCAAAUGAAUCUGAAGGUGCCAGACUUUGGAGAUUUCCUGUCUACCCUGA